AUGGUAUGAGAUGUUUCUUAUGUACUCGAACUGAUAAACAAGUUAGGCCUAAUCAUUUGUGAGACUCUUGGUUUCUGGUUUCUUUAGUUUGAUGUAAGCAUGUACUAAACCUUUUUUCAAGCUGAGGAGGCGACAGUAAUGUAUCCCUUUCGAGCACCCUCAUAUCGUUUAACUCACUGAGACGUGACUUAUCAGUUGUACCUGUUAUUAUAUUGUGAAUAAACAUAUCUUAUAAUUACUAUAUUAAUACUAAUUCUUCUGAAUUCUAUUAGUUACUCUGCUUGAGAAUUGAAAUUCUCAGUGUAGGUCGAAAUAUCGAUAUAUCACAUUUAAAUAUCUAAACGAGGAUGUAGAAUAUCUGCACCAUUUGCAGAAUGAAAUUAUGUGCGUUAAUGUAUUUUUUUCUUUAUCUUUUCUUGAUUUUUUUUUUGUCUAUUGCUUUUGUAUUCUGAUUCAAUAAAGAAAUAAUUUUUUUCCAUAAAAUUACUUGUUAAAAUCCUAACCAAUAAAGACUUUUGGCAAAAAUGGGAUUUUGGGUUUUCACAAAUUUUUCCCCCUACAAAGUAUGAGGAGGAUUCAAUAUCUACAUGGUAAAUUUUCAUUUCGGAGAUGAUUCUUAUAUGACUAAGAAACCGUGUUGCAUCUUCUUUUCUUUUCUUCUUCUUUUUUUUUUUUCAGAGCAUGUUCCAGCUUUCAGAUAUCACUUCAGUUUGCAUGACAGAUCCUGUAGAACGGAAGGUUAAAGAGGUUGAUAUAACCAACUCGAAAGAAGCCGAAUUUCCCCUCCUAAUGAAGCAAGAAGAUUGGUGGCUUUUUGAUUUCGAAUGGGCACUUGGAGAAUCAUCUUCAGAGGUGUUCAAUAGCACGACCAAAGAGCCAUUGCUGAAGGAGAGACAGAAGCCACAACUGUUGAAUCAAACACAUCAUAUUGAAGGAGUUGGAGCAGAAUCAUUCACCUCAAACUCCUUGAAGUCAGGGAUUCCCGAACACAGAGACAGGCCCUUCCCCAUGUUUGAGUUGGGACUACUUCCAGAAUCGUCCCUUGGUAUGGAAAUGGAGUACAAACCCUCCACUAUGAAGAGUUUCAAGAGGAUCCUUGAUGAGAAUAAUUCUAUGAACGAAAAAAUAAAAGAGGAGACUCGUAUAGACUUCAGUGGAGAGAAAAGUUGCAAUGUUGUUUCGGCUUGUCAGUCACCAGGGACAAGGCAGAAAUCUGUGCUCCCCCCAUUGAUCAAGAAAGGCGAAGAGUUGGGCAAUCUCCAAGUCACUCGGACGAUGCAAGAGGGAAGGCUGAAAGGUUUGGUCAAGGAGGAAGUCGAUCGGAUCUCCAACUUUCAUGCAGCGAAUGAAUUUGGAGUUAAGAAGCCUCUCAAGUUACUCUCUUGUACAACAUCCGUGGCCGCAAUGAAUCUCGAGUUUUUGUCGAUCGCUCGACUCAGAGCCAUGGCAAAGGAACGCAACCUCCAAAGGUACUCUAAACUCAACAAAAGUGACUUGAUCAAGCUUCUUAAUUUCCCACCUCCAGCCCUUUAAUUUCCCUUGUGAUUGCAAACAUACUCGGUUAUUAUAGAAGCCGCCUGAACUUAUUUUUGCUUCGAUUUUUUAGCCAUUUUACAGAAAAUGCCAUUAUAAACUUUAAGAAUGUGUAAGCGUGACUCAUCUGGAUAGAAUUUUGAUGACUUUGAGUACUCUGUUGGUUUCUUUUCUCCGUGGAGCUUGACAUUUGACCGGCCCAUAAUGUUGCUGGUGAUUUAACUGCAUAUGGAUAUUAUUAUUCACGACAGUGCACUCUUGAUAGCAGUAUUCUGUGAAAUUGCACACUUUCUGUGGUUAUAAUUGAACUGCACGCAGGAGGCAAUUCAGCAGAUUAUGUGGUGGCAACUCCCCCAACUGUUAUCAGCAAAUCUAUUGAGUUGGCUUAUGAUAAGUAGCAGUUGCAAAAGCAACUCUUUUCGUGUUUGAUAAAUCACCAGCAGCUACAGAAAAACCAGGGGCACCACCUUUUUCUCUCAGACCGAUCUUCUAAAUUGUUUAGCAGUAUCAAAGCCAUCACCGUUUUCCCUCAAGGAUUGAUACACAGUCAGCACUUGCCCUCCUUUAGCUUUCAGAAGGUAUCUGAUUCUGGAUGAAUUCCAUGUUACAGCUUAAAAGACAAAUUUACUGAAUGAGGGUAUUGUCAGGAUUGGGAGUUUUCUACUGAGUGAUGAAUUGGGUGUUUACCUUAUCAUUUUGAAAUCAAAGGCCAAAACAAUCCGAGACUUGCCUCCAUUUAGUAGUCCAAACAGAGACCAUUCGCAGGUACACAAAUUUGAAGAAAGCUAAAAAAAUAAACCAUUGGAGUUUAUCUGCUGCUUUUGAUCAUGGUACACUUUCAGGCCACAAAAUGGUAUAUCAUUCUUCCCUGCAAACAACAAUAAAACACAAGAAAUCAAACAAACAAUUCUUAGAAAGAAAAAUAAAACACAACAAAGUUUAGAAAAAGAAAAGGGUAAAAAAAAAAAAAGCAGUUUUCAAGUUUUGGCACUUAAAUAUUUUCCUAAUCUCUCAACCUAUCCCCUAUCUAGACUUAUCCAGAACUAAGAAAAGUAUCUCUCUUCAGAGGCAGAAUCUAAAACUCGCCUUUCUGAAAGAUUAUGGGCAAUGCCAGAACUUUACAACGCACAACGGUCAAAAGUAACAAGAUAGAAAUAGAAAGUUGGUGAUUCUCUUCUCUUUUUCCUUCUCUCUCUCUCUCUCUCGAUCUCCCCCCACAGCCACCCCUCCCUCCUCCUUCCCCCACCCCCCCCCCCACCCAAAAAAAACCCUCCACUUCCCACCAAAAGAGAAAUAUCCCAAAAAGAAUUCUAUAUUCAGAUGCUGAACCUGGACAUAUAUCAUAUCAAAAUUUGAAGUACUCUAUAUAAGAUCUACUUACCAAUGAAACAGGGCAUUAUAACCACAUUGUCUCAACAUUAAUAAUGUGUCACAAAGCAUAGAAGUUUGUCUAUAUGCCCAAUAUCAGAAUAACUAAACCAAAGAGAUCCAUGUAGGAAUGCACUAAAUUACCCAAGGCACAAAUUCCAAGUGAUAUUACAAUGAGUGCUACAAUUAGAAAGAAAAUUGCACACGACAACUUCAAGAAUUAUCUAAUGAGACAAAAGAGAGAGCAGACAACACUCAUUUCAGUCAUCUUCCUCCAUGAUAAUGGCUCCAAACAAACAGUGAGUCCAUCUGUCACUGACCUGGAACCAGACUUGCUUUGGAAAGGUCUACAUUUACUAUAUCCAUUCCCGACAGAUAAACUAAUUUCUUACCUGCGUUACUUUUCCUUAAUUUUCUCUGAUCUAUCAUUUAGAACUAAUUCGAAUUCGAUUUUAGCCAUUGGUUAAAAUCGAAAGAGUCAAACAUCCACCUUUAUAAACCAGGCUAGAGUCAUAGGCUGACAUUCAGAGCAUUACUCUACUCAAAUCCCUAUUUACGGAAAAUCUACAAGUGUUGCACUGAAAAAUUAACAUCUUCUCCACAAACCUUAUUAAAUCAACCCCAAACUUUAAUAAAUUAAUAAAUCAACCCCAAAUUUUAGCUGUCAUUCAGACACAUGCAAAUCAGAAAGUAGACUCAAGAACUCCAAGUUAUCAUGAUUCAUGUAUAUAUAUUAGAAUUUAAAAUUUAUAUAAUUACAGGUUACUGAAAACUCUGUGCUUGGUGGUCCUGCCACUGCAGAAUUUAAGGACCACAUGGAUGCAACCUUGAGAGCCAAUUCCCAUCCUUGAACAUCUAACACUCCAUUUCUUGAUAUCAAAUAAGUAGCUAGGAGGUGAUAAAUGUCUAUUUGUACAAACAAAGAUGUUUCUGUGCUUGUGAAGCACACCAGAGAUUUCAAACUAUCUACUACUCUUUUCUAACAAGAAGUUAACUGUACUAUAAUCGAAAUGAUUAUCAAUUCAUUUAUACCACAUCAAAAUACUAUUGUUGAAUGCGAUUGGAAAGAAUAAAUGGCAUAAUUGAAAUGGAGAGAGAACCAGUCAAAGAGUUAAAGACUACUAAGCUGAAAUGUGAAACAUGCUGUUAACGUCACAUAAUGUCAAAAAUCUACUGAGCUGACUGAGCAGGUAAGGCAAUUACUUUGCUUCCCUAGAAGCAUGACAAGAGGAGGUCAUUCAAGCAGUUUUAUGCUUUGUGAGUGACAAAAGACAGAAGGCAACAGUCAACUAGGGCAUAUAAAGAAAAAAGGUGGCAGAGAUUACUUUGAAAAUUCAAGCUUUAACAUGGCAUCUCUUAACUUGUAAGAAGCCAUUUUAGUAGUUAGGAUAGGCUUAACCUAGGGCCUACAUUUACAAAUUUUAUGUUGAACCUUCUUGGCACUUAGUUUUUAAGUUUGGCAUGAUAUUCAGUCAGAAAGAAUAUUUAUGAACUUUGCUAUCUUAACAAGAAUUGUGUGGUUUUGGUAUCUAGGGACCAAGGUUCUAAAUUAGGAAUCGGUUUCUACAGUGAAAAUGCCCCAGUCAAAACUCAGGUUGGAGAAAAUAUCUAGCCAAGUAGGAAAAUGCUUAGAAGCCUGUGACAAGGUAAUUCUCAUCCAAAGAAAUUGCAGAUUUCAAUCUAACAAAUGGUCCAAACUGGAGAUGCUGCAGACAUUUAGUGUAUUACAGAGUAGGUGAUACGAUUUAGUCUUAGGUCCAAUACUGGACGCUUUCUCAGAAUAGUUUCUAGAACUUCCUUAUUCCUCCAUAUUCUUGUGAAUUCUAUGCAGUUUCAUCAUUUUCUGAGCCCUUGAAUAGAGGUUUACAAUGAACGUGCAUGCAAUCAAGAAUCAGGUGCGAUGCUGGAUGGUUUCUAGGAAAAAUCUCUAGAAAUUCCUUGUUCCUCAAAUUUAUUACAUUUAUAUCCCUUUUGAGAACUUGACAACAUUCUAUUGCCAUUUUUUGCAUGAUCUAAACACGAACCAGUUUUAUGAGACACCUUUUGGAGUGCCAACAAAUUUCUGCUGCAUCAAAAAAUGUUCCUAUUAGGCACACCCUUCUUAAAUCCUACUUCCCCCAGGGGAGUUUGUGCUUGAAGGCUUGCAAGGAUCUUUCUGAUGAAGCUUAUUUGAGGUUUUUCAAUAAACUUCUCAUUUGCAGGGGUAAAGACUUUUAACCCACUAACUAAAUUAAAAUAAUCAAACUGGAAGUGUAGAAAUUCAAAAGUAUCCUGGAAAUGUAAUAUAUUCCAAUUCAAGAAAUCUAAGAUAUUUAAUUUGCAAUAUAAGACUUUUCAAAGUACACAACUCCCCCAAAUUAACUUUUUAUGCCAUUUUGGCAAUUGUAUAUAUUCCAUUUCAAGAAAGUGGGUAUAAUCUAGCAAUAAAGAAAUAGCUCGAUUUGAAAGUGAAGUUAUUUAAAAGAAUAACUAAUUAAUCAUGUAAGUAGAAGGGACAAAACAAGAGUGGGGCUGCAUGGGACCAACCAAGUUCCCUCCAUUCCAAGUAAAUAGGUUAAUAUCCAGAUAAAACUUGAGAAACUAAACUCCAACACUACUCAUCAGCAUGAGCUACACAUCAUUCUCCCCCAUCACCACAGUACAACCACCCAGAAGCAAAAAGUUCAGCUUUUCACCCCAAAGGGAUGUUUACAGCUGGUUAAGUGCAGUCCCCAGGCAUGCAGUUCUAUUCUCCAUAUAAAUGAUAAAAAGGACACUGCUAAUCUAGUAAAUAAAUGGUGUAGGUAGCAUCCACCUUUACAUGAGAACGCCUAGCCACGUAUUAACAUCAAGACAAAAUGAUCAUGUUACAUAUGUAUACUAAUAAUUGUCAGCUCUCACUUGGUGACUAUAGAAUCAUUUGUAUAAUUCUGAGUAAAAAAAUUCUUUCUUCAGUAAGUUAACAGCAUAUUUACCCUUCUCGCUUUUUCUUAUCCAUGUUUGUCCUUUUGUAGUUUAAAGGUGACUGAGAAGACAAAAGGUCAGAUGCCUGAAGAAUCUAACAUGUGGAUUGUCAAUCGAGAGUAAUAGAGGUCUGAGAUGAAGAUCAAAUCACUCAUUUAUUUCUUCUAAAAACGCACUUCCUUUUUAUGUAGGUUCCCAAAAAAAGAAUCCCUAAAGUUUAAUCUCCACUUUCUAAAUUUUUUGACACAAUACAGUAUGAUGAAAGAAAUACUGGUGAACUAAAAUAUCAAUGGAAAACCUAUUCAACUUCAUCCAAUGGGUGAUAGUGACUCUGACAUGCUUUAUCACAAUGAUCAUUCUCCAAAUAUGGCCCUGCAUUUAGAUUUUUGAGUUUUUCAUUUGACGUGUAACCCUGACUACCAUAUCGCGUUUCUUCGUUUAAAUACUUCCCAUUUUUCUUACCAAAGCAUAUUCUUCUACAUCCCCCUAGGUCUUGUGAUAAAGUGACAAAGAUUGGAGGUGAUAUCACGAGUCAGAAGAUUCAACCUCCUAGUACUCACUUUAAUUCUCUGUAGCCAAGUUCUAAAGUGGAUUCAAUAUCUCGCUCAAGUAAACUUGAAGAAUGUUCUCCUCAACCAUUUCAGAAGCAAGUACAAUUCAUGAAAUGACAAAGUCAUCCAAACUCAUCAAAGUUCUCAAACUUUGAAGACAAUAGUAAACUAGUGUGUAUAUUCUCCUUAGAGUAACCUUCAAAAUGUUCUCCUCAACCAUUUCCGGAGCACGUAUUAUUGGUAAAAUAUCUAAAGCAUCUGAGGUCAUAAAAGUUCUUAAACGUUGAAGAUGGUGCUUGGCACAUGCACUAUAAAACUACUCUACCUACUUUGCAGUAUAAAUGCUAACUUAACCUUAUCCAUAUUAGAAAUCAGAUCUACUUUUAACCAGCAGAACAAUUGCACCAAGUGCCAAACUGCAAUUGGACUUCCCCAAGUUGAUAUGCCAAAUAUGACAACUGAAGGUGCUGUACUUCCUAUGGACAACCUUAGCCUCCUUUCGCUUGCCAAUUCUCAUUGAACUAACCAAUCUACGACAGGGCAAGACUGAAGAGUUCAAAGACCUAUCAAUUAAAAUUACUGAUCAAUCCACUUAUGAAUAACCUAACUGCAAGAAAAUCCAAAUAGGAGACUGCAGAGUUUACUCGGUGAAAGGUAAGAAUGCCAAACUUAAAUGUAUCUGCUUGAUUAUAAAAUAAGCCUAGAGAAAGCCAUCAAAACUAUUGCUUGUUCUACACGUCUUAAGCUGUGCCAGAAUGAUGAAUAUAAAACCUUUUAUGGCAUCUAUAAACAGCAGUCAAUGAACAUAAAUUAGUAUUAAAUGACUAUCCAAAUGCUUCGCAAAAAGAUAAUCUUGAACGUGCAAACUAAGUUGUCACAGAGAUAGAAAGCUAUUUACCAACUUGCAUAUUCCAACUUGAUAGAGAUAAAUGGAGCUAAGUCCCAAAAGUCCCUGAAAAGUAGCAUGUACAAAAUAAUGCAAGAGUACUAGAAAAAUUAUCGAUUCAAUACAGAAAAUUAAAUAAAAUAAAAAAGAAGGUUGUAAAACUCCUCAGAGAUGACAUGUACUGUUCUAUAUGUAAGAUGAAAAGGCCAUUCAGAUAAAACAUGUAAGAUUCAUGUCAAGCGUAACUUUGUCUGAGCUCCGCAUGAAUUGUUCAGAAGUCUUUCAAAUCAGGGACGUAGUGAUGACAAAUAUUAAAAACACUUGCCAAAUGGAGAAAAAAAAAUUAAAAGAAAGCUAGCACUUGUUUUGAGGGCAAUGAAAUUCUUCAGGACUUUGCUUCAAAUUCCAAGGUCAAGCUGAAUCUCAAAACCUUACCGUAUAACAUGAAUGAGUAAAUUUCUCAAGAAAUAAUAAGCAGUGUAGGAAUAUAGUGUUACCUCACUUAGAUUGUAACAUACAAUCAGCAUCCUUUAGUGCUCAAACAAGAUGUGUUAUACGAUAUUGGAGCUUGGCAUUUUCUGCAUUUAGCUGCUUUAGCUCUUUCUGAGCCUAAAAGGGACAUAAAACAAGACUGGGUUACCUUUUUAGCACUAUUUAACAUGCAAAAAUUAAAAAAACUGCACAAAGCACACCUUUUCUCUUUCUAAAGCUUGUUCCGCUUUCACAUUUUCUAGCUUUGACUAAAGCUCAAGGACCUUAUUCAAUAAUUUCUCAUUCCCAGCAUCUGAAGAAGCAUAUCCACAUGAAGAAAAGGAUAAGGAUGAGUUAAUUAGUAGAUGUCACAAAAUUCAAAAUGAAUCCGUUGAAAUGCAUUGAUGGUCAAACCUACUUCUGUCACUAGCAAUAGCAGCUUCACGUCUUUCCAAUCGAGUCUACAUGACAAAGAAGGAACUUUCAAUCAGUAAAACCCCUAUCGUCAACAAAAACGAGGACAGAUCUCCCAAACUGUCAUUUGAUUAAUAUAUUACCCCUAAAAGCUUACGGCACGCUACAAUUAUUAAUAAAGCAAAGCGUAAAAAGUAGUAUUCGAAUACAUGAAAAUAGUAUUCUACAAUUCUGUAACUUCAUUUACAUGCCAAACACAAAAGAAUCCACUACACAAGGGUGUGUUUGAUUCCUCAAAGAGAGUUGAAUUGUAUACCAUAGGAUUUAAGUAAAAUUUCUAUAGACAAGUCCAAUUCUAGUGCAACUCCGAUUCUCACAAGGAACCAAACAAAAGCAUCAAACAGAAGAAUCCGAAGCUCCCAAUUUAGAUUCCUGGACUAAUUUAAUAUCUGAUUCACGUGUUUAUAAUUCGUAAACAUGAUUGAUGCAUCAGUAGAAGAAACGUCAAAAUAAAUUCAUCAAACUAGUCUAAGAACUCCUGGUAAAGCCCUUCAAUGAUUGGAUUAAUCAUGAGAAUUGAUACAAGAAAAAUUAAAGCAUAACAUAUCAAUGACAAGUAAUUAAAAAAGAAAAGAAAAGAAGAGAAAAGCACCAAGAUUUAGACCCAUAAUGUGGGCGUUAACGAGCUAAAAAGAGAUCAGAAACCUCAGCCUCAGAUGCUCGCUGGUGAAAGGAUUUUCAGAUUGCGGGCAGAUUGUUUUCUGCCAUUGGAGUAGAUGAAGGCAGCUGCCCGCCUGCCAAGAGACGAAAGUGUCCGGUUUUCGGAGAGUUCGAGGUUGGGAACGAGGAUAACCAAAACUUUUUUUUCUUUUUUGGGUUGUCUUAUUUGGGUAGGGGAUUGUACCAAAAAGUACUACACAAUCGGAGUAUUUGAUCAUCAUGCCACCAUAAAAAAAUUGAAAAAAUAAAAUUAAAAACAGAUGCACAAUAGGAGUAAUUGGAACAAGUCAGUAAUUUUACAGUACAAGUGCACACAAAUGGAAUUUUGGAUGCAACUUGGAAAUCUAUCUACACAUUUACACAAAUGAUGCAUAAAUUAUAGUCAAUCUAUAUACAAAGCAUGAUAUGUUAUGAAACAACUAAAAUGUGGAUGUCCCUUUGUAUUUUCAAGAGGAUUAAUUUUUGAUUUAUGGCCACAUUAUGUAUAGAAGUUACAAUCCAUAAAUCUAAUCAUGUAGCGGAGAAACCGUUUCAUAGGUUUCUUCAUAUUCUUGUAGUAGUGGGUGUUUAAAAGGAUUAAUGUACCUUUAAUCUUGUAGUAUCUAUAUAUAGAGGUACAUUGACACCUUUUGUAAGGACUUUUGUAUUAGUUGGAAUAAUAAGAAUAUCACUCUCCAUUUCUCUACAUCUUUCUCUAAUAUCUCCAUUUAUACUAUAGUAAUUUAUUAGUUUUACAACACGUUAUCAGCACGAGUCUCUACUUUUGAGCAAAAGGUGAAAACGGAGCCUCUACCGUGAACAAAAGUGAAACACAAAAUUCUGCCCGUAUUUCUUGAAGUAACUUCUGAGGUAAAUCUCUGACCCAUAAACUUAUUUCAAUUUUUUAUGACUAACAUUUGAAUGAUUGAAAAAUACAAGUGUCUAAUGCUGAGCAACCAUUAACCACAACAAUAUACUGUUUGACAUCUUUGAGGUAAUAUUUUUCCAUUUAAUUCUACUCAUUUAUCUUUAGAAUUAUUUGUUAUAAAUACUUAUAUUCUGAUGCAUUGAGUUUUGGAGAUGCUAUUAUAGAAAAUCAAUUAUAUUUGAGGAUCUACUUGUCCUUUGAAAUACUUAAAGAAAAAAAUUCGAUCACCUGAAGAUGGUCGUUCUUUAACGAAAAUAUUUGGCCACUAGAAGAUGGUCAUUAUUUUAAAAGCCUGGUAUGAUAAAUUUACCUGUGGCUACAAGAACAUAAUUAUGCAAUUUUCAGAAUUACUUCUCAGUUGAAAUUGUGUCGAGAAAAUUUUACUCAUAAGAUAUAUUGAAAAUGAUACUCUCCACAAUUGAUUUCUCGAAUAUGCUCCUGUAGUAGCAAUAUUAAGAGAAAUUUUGAGAAGUAUUUUGUACUUAUUGCAUGCUAAUUCUAGUCCAUUCCCAGAAGUGAAUGCGACUACAUUUCAAUUUACUAAUUAUGGUUGCUGCCAUGACUAUGAUUUUGGUAUAUAUAUACCAAAAUUACCACGACAAGAAAAAAAAUUACCACUUGAAGUGGGAUAAUAAUGAUAAGGACAAGAAAGUAAAGAUCCUAAGGAUAAAUGUCCCGAAGUACAUUUGACGAAUCAAAAUUAUAAUAUCAUCUUUACAUGGCCAAUUUCUUUAAACACCCUAAAGGUGUAUGAUGAUUAAUUUAAUUAGCUUUUCUUCCUGAAGAAGAAAUAGAUGUUAAAUAUUUGGGAUCAAAGGAAUAUGGUGAUGAUAUUUGUCCUAUAAAAAUUAUGGUAACAAUAAUAUGUGUCUCAUUAAUAAAUGCUAGUAUAUAUACUAUUUUCCAACAAAAGAGACAAACACAAUCAAUUGUAGUGUUUAAGUGAUUGAACGCUCAAGAAGAGCCAUCGCUAUGUUUCUCCCUGUAGGAGAAAAGUUUAUCAUGAAUAAAGCACUAUUUUUUACCAUGUCUCGAAGAAUUAUUGAAUUUGAAUAUCCGUCGAAAUGGAUAUCAAAUUGAGAUACUAAAUGAGACAAUAAUAGAGAUCAUGUUUAGAAAUCAAGUGAGAUAAAGGUUAAUUAUAUCAUAAUAAUCAUUCGAGAGAGAAAUGAUUAUCGAUAUAGUUGUCUUCAUUUUCAUUUGAUUUAUAAUCAUCACUUGCAGUAAGUCAGAAGUUUAAUGAUCCCAAUGAAUAGCAAAAGUGAUAAUGUUUGAGAUCCGACAAGUAUUUAUACAUACACUCUUUAUACUAUAUAUGGUUUCGAAAGAAAUUUAAAAUUUAUGUCGGGUAUGAAUCAUCUUUUACGAUUAAAUUUCGUAAAAUAUUGAUGAGUAAUCUAUUGAAUGAUUUAUUUAUUCUGAUGAGCUACGAUUUCCGAUAUUAGGGGGAGAAAAAAUCAACCGAAAGAAAAUCACCUGAAAAUUUGAAUUUCCUUGAUCCUCAUACAAAAUAAUAUGAACUACAAAUUCAAGAAAUUCUUCAUUUGUAGAAAGUUAUAUUUAUCAACUCCAGAAGAGUCAUUAAAUCAACUAUUCCUGCAGGAAAUAUUCUGAUUAAAAUUAAUGUCCGUGAAGAACAUGCACAAGUGCUACAAAUAAAUUUAAGGCCGGCCUACUUAAAUAAGGUAUAAAUUGAUUUCAAAUAUCUCCGAAGAUUAAAUAAAUGUCAUGACAAAAUUCAACCUCUUGAAGAGACUGCUCCUGAAGAGAAUGAAAUCAUAGAAAAUUUAAUUGGAGCCUAAUGAAAUGUAGCACUUAAUAUUAUAGAAAUUGAUGAGAAUCAUGAAUCUAGAUCGGUUGAUGAAUGUCGCUACAGAAAUGAUUGUUCAAAAUGGAAAGAUACGAUCCAAUCUGAAUUGGAUUUAUUGGUUAAAAGAAAAGUUUUUGGACUUGUAGUCCAAACACCUGAAGGUGUAAAGCAAGUAGCCCAAGAUUUUUCACAAAUAUUUGGAUACCAAUGAUCAAUAUGUCCAUGUGUUUUUAUCAAGAAAAAUGGAUCAAAUUUUGUGAUAAUUGCUGUAUAUGUUGAUGAUCUAAAUUUGAUUGGAACUCCUGAAGAGAUUCAAAAUAAUGUUGAAUAUUUGAAGAAGGAUUUUGAGAUCAAGAAUUUUGGAAAGACAAAAUUCUGCUUUGGUUUACAAAUUGAGCAUUUGAAAGGUGAAAUUUUUGGCCACCAAACUGCUUAUACUCGGAAGGUAUUAAAGCGAUUUUAUAUGUAUAAGUCACAUACAUUAAGUACUCUAAUGAUUGUCAGAUCAUUAGAUUCUAAUAAGGAUACUUUUAGAUUGUGAGAGGAAGAUGAAGAGAUACUUGGUCCUGAAAUACCAUAUCUCAGUGUAAUUGGUGAAGAGUAUUGGAAUGCGACGAUUAAAAGAUCUCAAAUGAUGUUUACAUCAGGGGGAGAAAUUAAUAUACAAGAAUAGUGUACUCUUUUUCUUUCAAUAGGGUUUUUGGUCCCACUGGAUUUUUCCCUAAUAAGGUUUUAACGAGGCAUAUUCUUUGUGUAAUGGACAUCCAAGAGAGAGUGUUAUGAAACAACUAAAAUGUGGAUGUCCCUUUGUAUUCUCAAAAGGAUUAAUUUUCGAUUUAUGGCUACAUUAUGUAUAGAAGUUACAAUCCAUAAAUAUAAUCAUGUAGUGGGAAACCGUUUCAUAGGUUUUUUCAUAUUCUUGUAGUAGUGGGUGUUUAAUAGGAUUAAUGUACCUUUAAUCUUGUAGUACCUAUAUAUAGAGGUACAUUGACACCCUUUGUAAGGACUUUUGUAUUAUUUGGAAUAAUAAGAAUAUCACUCUCCAUUUCUCUACAUCUUUCUCUAAUAUCUCCAUUUAUACUAUAGUAGUUUAUUAGUUUUACAACAUGAUAUACUUUUUUAGUGUUAAAAUGGGAGUGUUUUGAUGUCAAUUAUAUGAAACAAUUAUUUAAUUUUUAUCAUUAAUACAUUUUCUCAUCUAUUUAUCUUUCUAAUCAUCUGUUUAUCUCACGUCACGAAAAGGUACUACAAUGUCAAAAUAAAUAAUUUUUUUUUCAAAUAAUGGAUAUCUCAAUACCUCGAUUUGUUGAUUUACUUAUUAUUAUUGGUGCCUGUGAUUAAAAAGAAUUUUAAGAUAGUUGUUUGUUGGUGGUUAUGUUGUUAUUUUGUGAAGUUUCAAAAAUAUUUAAAUUGGUAGAAGAAUAAGUGAAUGAAGAUAAAAAUGGGAUAUCAUAUUAAGCGAUAAUAUUUCAUAGCAUAGGUUUCAAUAAUAGAUUGUCUGCAAAGGCUAUUUAAGUCUCCCGUUUUUUAGAUUAUUAUUCUACUUGCAUUUUACAGAUUACAGGUAAUUCCAUUAGCUAUAUGUCUAUUCUUGGGGUUAAAAUGCUAAUCAACCUGUUGAUUAAUAAGGAUUAUAGUAUCUGUAAAAAAGUCAUUUAAGUUUUCCUUUUUUCUGAUUAUUAUUCAAUUUACAUUUCAUGGAUUACAAGUAAUUUCAUAAGUUAUAUGUUCAUUCUUGGGAUUAAAAUUAAAAUCCACGCUCAUUCUUGUAGAGUAUGAGGUUUUGUUUCGCAUCUUUUGGUUUCUUUUUUGUUCAUCUUUUUAGUUUUUCGUAGCAAUUUUAGUUUUUGUUUACCUGUAUAAGAAAGCAUUCAUUAUUCUAUAAUUUAAGAAAACACCCAUUGAAGUUGUUUGUUUGAAGGGGUUUCUAUAAAUUCAUCACUGCCUAAAGAAAUCGAACCAUUUCUAUUACUUCUGCUUAAUUAGAAGGUACAUGUGAAACACUAUUAAUAUGAGUGGCUUAGAAGGUGUUUAUUCUAUUAAUUCAUCAAUGACUAAACAAUUCAAACUCAAAUCCACAGCAUACCAUGUAACCUACCAAUUCACAAUGCUUUGCUAUCAAAUUACUAUCAAAAUGAAUUUCAUAUGCGAAUCACUUACUACAUGCAAUAGAAAACAAACCAUAGCUGAAUUAAUUAAAGUAAUUUUUUUGGCUUACCUUAUUGCAGAUACUCCUCGGAAAACUUUUUCUUGCAGUUGUUCCAAACCUAUUGUGGCAGCCCCACCUCCCCCUAGGGCGUACCCAAGAGUUUGGCAGACUGUCUGCCUAGUUCUCGUCAGGAUUCAGUCAUGUAUCAUGAAAAUUUAUAAAUAAAACCUUAAUAAUUACAACCUUCAAUAUAUACACUCAUAGACCUCCAAUAUCCACAUAACCUAUAAUACAGCUAAAGAGUCGAACUUACAAAAAUCAAACCAAACAAGUCGGUUAGACAUCUAUGAAGUACUCACGCGAGCAGCUAACAAAACUUAGACAAAAUCUAUGUCUUCUCCACUCCCAUUCUCACGUUCUUACUCCUAUAAGAAAAACAAAUUUCAUGGAAUGAGAUAGAAACCCAAUGAGGUUCCAACUAACCAAGCAGGUAAAAUAAGAGACAAGAUACCAUACCCAAAUAUCAAGAAACAAGUCAUAAUCAAAUAGAUCAUAAUCCAGUCUAUAGUUAAACAAAUAGUCAGAUAGAUCAUGUAAAAGUGUACAGUAAAGAACAUAUUCAUGGCAAAAUAUAUAGAUUGCUUUCAGGAGCAAGUUCCACCGCAGCUUGAUCAAGAUCCGUUGACUCUCCGUCAACCACGAAAUUAUAAUGUUCGUACAUCACCACUUUACACCAAUUUCGAUCCACCAAACAUAUCCCUUACCGGGCCCGAACGUCAAAGAAGUACCCAAGGUUCGUCGAUCUCCUCGACUAAACCCUUGCAGGCUCGAUUCGCCCAACUAGCCCUGGAUUGGAGUUAUAGUCCCAGAUAUACAGUAAUUCAGAAUCUGGUUUAUAGCCCCUAAGUAUUCAGAUAUUCAAGAGUGAAGUCAUUGGCUGUUAUCCAACGCUCACGCAGUAAAUGAUUGGAGACGUUAGUUGUCACUUAACGCUCCGGAUUCAGUAAUAUCAGUGUUCAAGUGAUGAAUUUCAAUCAAGAGUAAACAGGUUAGGAACUUUAUCCUUUACCCAAGAUUUUCCAACUUACCCGACCGCUCUGAGGCUGGUCUAAAGCAAGAGGUCCAACGAGAGCUCAAUUCACCCAUUACCGACUUACAUUCACGCAUACGCAUGAGUAACCCUAGAUUCCACUUACCCGACAUCUCGGAUAAGGUCCAAGACCCAGUUCAACCACUACAAGAGAAAUGUGGCUGGUCUACAAUUCAACCGCUACAAGAAGGAUGUAGCCGGUUUACUAUUCAACCAUCACAAGAGAAAUGUAGCGGGUCUACAGUUCAACCGCUACAAGAGAAAUGUAGCCGGUCUACAACCAUGCACAUAAACAUGCGGAUCCACAUACAAGAUCAAUUACUCAAGUUCAUGAAGGUCGAACGCAAAUAAGGACAUACUUGUCUAGUCAUAAUCAAGUCACAAGUAAUACCCAACAAGUCACAUUUUCAAGCAUUCCAAGAACUUCAAGUCAUUUUACAGGUCACAUGUAAAUCAAGUUACUUGUUCAUGUAUGAAUGAGAUAUCAAGUGUUUAGUCAAUCAGGUCAAUUGAGUGUACAUAAGAGCAUACUUGCCUAAACAGACUCAAAUCACAAUUAACCUCAGCAAAUCAUUUUUCAAGCAUUUCAAGUCCAAACAGUUGAAAACUGGGUGAGUUCGAAACCUAAUCAAACAAGAAAACUGGAGGAAAACUGCAAAAAAUCAGAAAUUCCUUCAGCAAAUCUGGCUAAAUAUUGACCGGAUUCAAGGCCGGAUUGACAGGAAAGGCAGAAAACAAUUUGCUUACCUACUACCUCGAAUUCGGCUGAUAAUCCAACCAGAAAGUGGCCGGAUUCUAGCCACCAUUCAGUUAUAACAAAAUGGCCAACACAUGCUUUAAUAGAAUAUCACAAGUUUAGUCGAUUUAGGUCAAGUGCGAUAAAGUACACACUUGCCGAUGAGAUGAUAAAUCAAGUACCUAGCAAUUUCUAACAACAAUGAGCACGAAACAUGUAGUUGGAGCACUCACCAAUCAAUUGCAAUCCUUCAUUUUAAUCCUGGUUCGUCCUUUUGAACUCUCUCGAAUCCUGUGGUUACAUACUAUAUUAAAAGACUAGCAAUACUAAGCCAAAAUUCAUGAAAAAAUUAAAGUUUCCAAAACUUCAUUUCCUUUCAUUUAAACCUCAAUUCUACUCAUAAACCCAACUCAAUAUAGUUUACCAACUCCAAUUCUAAAGUUGGAAAUGAAAGUAAGAACGGUUCUAGGAAAGCAGAAUUUUUUUAGUUUGGCGCGAUACUAUUUGAAAAAUCAUAUCUUAAGUUUUUUAAGUAAAAAAUUUAUAAACUUUAUACCGUCGGAAAAUAGACUCAAAGGUUUACAAUUUCUCAGAAGACACAUUUGUAAAAUUCUGUCCACAAGUCAGUCAAAGUCUAACCUCAAGUUGUUGCUUCAUCCAGUCAAAAGACAAAACAGGUAUGAAAAUUCAGUCAAUUUUGAAAAAUCACAGAUAUUCAUAGAAAUUGAGAAAAAUUAUGAAAUUCUCACGGUUGAAAGUACCCUGAAUCUAGUUUCAAACACAAUAAAUAGAACUCCAUUCUGACUUUUCUACACCAAAUAUAACAGAUUUUCCAAGCCUACUCAAGGUUCCCUGCGGACAAAUUUUCAGCAGCACCUCCCCUGGUUUUCUUUACUUUUCCAUCCAAACUCAACACCAAAUUUCAUCUCAAUUCAAAUGCAAUCGCAACCACAAAUGAUAAGCUAUCAAAUACACAUAAUUAAGGCCACAACACCCUCCAAUUAUAGCUAAUUUAUACUAAAAAACCAACCAUAAGCAAGCUGAAUUUGGAAACCCUAAACUGAAAUUUUUCUUAGGCAAAUCAACUAGCAUAUAAAAACUAGAUUUUUUACAUAGCAAAACUAUCAAACCAUGGCCAACCCUUAAGCAUCAUAUAUAGGCAGAAAUUUCACUAUAAAAACUGAAAAUUUCCAUAUCCCCACUUCAAACCAUGAAAUUUCUCAUUAAACUACCAAAAUUGCAACCCUAAACUAGAGGAAAGUUUUUUGCCAUAAAUACCUUAAAAUCGUAUGCAAAGAGGCUGGGAAGACCUUUCUCUUCCCAAAUCACUCUACCAAAACCCUUAAUCUUUCUUAGUGAUCAACUUUUAUGGAGUAGUUUGCAAGAUUAUCAGUUGAAACUCAAGAUUCAAGCUAGAAAUUGAGGUUGAAGAUGAAGUUCCUUUCCUUGUUUUGUCUCUCUAAUUUUCGGCCAAGCUAGGAAGAAAAUGGGAAGAAAUUUUGGUCAAAAUUUGGUUUAGUAAAGUUAAGAAGGUCUUGGUCAAAGUCCAACUCCCAACGGUUUCGCGAUAAAUGGCGCCUUAGGGUUUAUGCUCAUCUCUUUGUUUUCCAGAACUAAUCUAUUUAACUAACCUCUAAUUAUCCCUGAACACCUUAUAAAAUAACAUCCCUUUAUGCAAAACUUCACCUAGUCGUUACAAAUUUAACGCACUUACCGCACUAACGGGUCCCACUUCCAUAAUGUACUUCAAACUCAACAUGUACUAAUUUAUACCAAGAAAAUGAUUUAAAAACCUGACUCACUUAUAAAAAUAUUAGGGAAAUUAAGGGAAUAAUUUAAAGUAAAAAAAAUAUAUUCAAAAAAAUAAAUAAAAUAUAAAUAAUUUCCCAGGUCCUCACAUCUAUUGCAUCAUAACUACACAAUUCAAAUUACACAGACCAGCCAAAUUUGUGACAAAAAAAACAUACUAUUAUAGUUAAAUUACGCAACUAGAUUUUCAAAUUUUGUGAUAGAAGUAGUCAUUGAUAUGACACACCACCAAAACCUCCCAUAUAAACAAUAAAAGUAAGAAACAAAACUCACCUCAAAUUGAACGACCAAGAAUAGUUUCGCUUGAAAACCAUUUUGGAAUACAGAGUAUAAAGGCAGCAAAAAUAUCCCAAUCUCGAAAGUCGAAAGAAAAAAAACUGAAGAAUGUGAAGGAAAAGGCAUUUGAACAACUAUAACCGAUACUCAGGUAUAAAUUCAUUAACAUACCCACAUUUUCUUCAGUUUAAUUAAGAUGUAAAUUACAAUGACAAUUGAAUAUAUUUCAAGCAAUUGAACAUCCUCAAGCGGUAAGAUUAUUGCAACAUGCCUUUAUUUCAAUUGCACAAUAAAUACCACACUUCAAGUAGAUGUGAUUGUAACACCAUUUGAAUAAUUACACCAAUACAUAAGCUUGUAUGACUUGUACAUGAUGCCAAAAUGAUUAUAAAAUAAUCCCAUAUUCCAAAAGUACCCAAAUGUCUCCAUAAAUAAACGCUUUAAAUGUGCAAAUAUGAGGAGGUUUCCAUUAACAUACCAAAACACAUGCUACCAUCACUUGUAUCCAGAGCUAAAAAUAAACUCCACAUCAUUCCAUAUUUAAAAAAUGCCCAUAUCCAUGCGUUUGAAAUUCAAAACCCUCUUUGAUCACAACUCAUUCUUAUGCUAUAACAACAUGUAUUUAUUUCAAUUGCUCAAUAAAUACUACAUUUCAAGUAAAUGUGCCUGUAACACUAUUUAAGUAAUUACACCAAUAUAUAAGAUUGUAUGACUUGUACAUGAUACAAAAACGAUUAUAAAAUAAUGUCACAUUCCAAAAAUGCCCAAAUGUCUCCAUCAAUAAACACUUUAAAUGUGCAAAUAUGAGGAGAUUUCUGUAAACAUACCAAAACACAUGCUACCAUCACUUGAAUCCAAAAUUAAAAAUAAACUCCGUAUCAUUUCACAUUUAAAAAUUACCCUUAUCCAUGAGGUUGAAAUUCAAAACCCUUUUUUACCACAACUCAUUCUUAUAUAGUAUAAGAAUGUUUACUCCCUCAUAUUAUAGCACUUCAAAAAACAAAAAAAGAAUAAGAAAAAAGGAAACUAAACUUAGGUCAUGUUUGGAUUGCAUUUUUCUGAAUUUUUUGUAGAAAAAUUACCGUAACGAUUUGAUAUAUGUGAGAUAAAAAAUGAUUGAAAAAUAUGUCCACAAAAAACGUAGCAAUUGAACACAAUAACUUUCCCCAAACAAAAAAAAUUGCUUUCCAAACAAGUAAGUUUGUAAUUUCCCCCGUCUCUUCCUUCUUAUUACAUUGAACACAAUAACUUUCUCCAAUCUUCACCAACUAAUGAAUACUUCUUUGAAAUCAAGUACUCAUAAAGAGUUUGCAAAACCUAGUUUGGUAUAAUGUAUAGAAUUUCUUUUAUACCUACACUACAAAGGGUAAAAUGGUGCCAAAUCACAAAACCCCCAUCAAGAAUUUGAUAAUCUUAGUAAUCCCGUAAAAAGAAAAAAACACUAACAAUAAGUAUAAUUAUCGUGGUCUUAGAUUUUCCAAAGGCAUAAUUUAACAAGAUAGCUUAAAAUUUUUUUUUAUCAAUUUGCAAGAGAGUAAAAUUAAGUAGUUUAUAAAUUUUUAAGUGCAAAAAAAUAAUUUCUAAAAUCCUAGGGGCUAUCUAGUUAAAACUCAAACUUUGGGUAUUAAUGAGAUAGUUUGGAUUGCACUUUUUGAAAAGUUUUUUUUUUACAAAAAAUUACUUAGCACUUUUUUCGGAUAUGAUGUGUGUAAGGUAAAAUUAAAAAAUAUGUAAAAAAAAUCACCAAAAACCAUAAAAAUUUUCUUAAAAAAAUUAAUAAUCUAGACAGGGUCUAAGUAUUUUGGAGGUCAUGGUAAGGAAAGGCUCAUUGACUCUUAAGGGCAAUAUACAGUCAUCUUAAUAUAGUCAUCCUUAAGAGUGCAACUCCUUUAAAUUAUCCAAAGGGCAAUAUAUAUUUCACCCCCCUGUGGUUGAGCGCUUUUUCAAAUAACUCUCUUGUGGAUUGAAAAAUUAUAUAUAACUUCCUCAUAAUUUGGAUUUAAAAGUCAAAGUUACAGAAUUUGCAUUCUUUAAUGAAGUCAAUUAAAAUGUCAAAAGUACCCUUUUGUGAAGUUGAAAAUUAUUAAUUAACCUCAAAAGGGUUAUGUAAAUAUUUUGAAAAUCAUAAGGGGGUUAUAUAAUAAAAUAUAAAAUCAUAAAAGGUUAAAGUGCCAUACAUAUUAAGUUUAUAUAUUUUGGUCAGUUUAAUCAUUUUGAGGUAAGUUCUGGACCUAGACUAGUUAAUUAUAGGUAGAUGAUAUUGUUUAUGAGCAUGCAUGUGAUGGUUGUGCGGUUGGAUGAAGAAUUAAGACAUAGGAAAAUCUGAUUUUUGAGGGAAGUUGGAUUGCCGAGAGUUUGAGCUGGAAAUUGCAGCUUUAAUUUGUUAAUUUGAGAUAAUCUGAGCCUAGAUGUGUGUUUAGCUAACUAAAAACUGGAUAAUUAAGCUUUGCAUGAGGUUAAUCAGCCUUGAUUAAGCAAGAAAAUUGAAGGGUUACAGAAUCUGCUUGCAUGCAAGCCAACCGAGAAGACUUGGAUGAAUUUCUGGUUGGAUGGUGACUUUUGAUGAUGUCCGAACUUGGUUUUGGGUCAAAACUGAUAGAUAGCUGAUUAUUUAGUCAUGCAUGUAGCUGAAAUGAGCCGUGGAUGAAGAAAAAAAAAAGAAAAAAAAUCUGAAUUUCUAGAGUGUUUAUGAGUUAAGCUGGCCGUAACUUUCUUUUAUGCUUUGGGUUGAAUUUCUGGUUGAUUUGUUGGAAGAAGUGAUGGUUUGAUGCCAAGAGCUAAUGAUUGAUGAAGCUCUUGGCCAUUCGAGUGUCGGGACUUUUGAAACCUUGCCAACUAUCUAAUUCUUUUCUUUGCUUAAACUAGCCUUAUUACUUUUUGGAAAUAAUUGCACUAACUUCCAAACUCUAGAUUUUUCGUAGGGUUGCUCUGGUUAGUUGUUUAGAGGAAAAUUGUUAAGAACAUGAGAUUUUACUAAUUUAAAAAAAAAUGACAUAGAAAACUUGUUCGGCAAGAAACCUUAUUUGAAGUGAGUGGGUUCUAGUUUGCACCUCUAGAAAGGAAGUUCCUUUAAAGAAACCAUACGAAAUAUUUUAUCACUUUUACUAGUUUUAAUUUUAAGAGAAUUGUUGAUUUAUUUCGAGAAAAUAAACUAGUUAUAUACCAGAUAAUCUUUUAUAUAUAAAUCAAGAACUUGUAUAGUAAAACUUAUAGUUUUAAAACUUGGUCUUUUAGGGUUUAGCGAGGACGUGGACUUCGAUUCCCAGUUUGACUUUUGAGAUUCACUUUUGGUGAGUGUCCUUGGUUGUUCUAUGUUUUAUCUUGUUAAAGUCCUUUCUUGACUGUUAUGUGAUAAUUGGAAUGUGGUUUUUCUGAUCCAUCGAAGAGGGCAGUGUGUACUUUAUCGCACUAGCUCUUUCGAGUGGUGAAUUGCUUGAAAUGUUUUCUCAAAUAUCUUGCUUGCACUAGUUAAGUACUGAGUGGGGGAAUGUACCACACUUGAGGGUGGGAGGGCCUCUUAUCCUAACUCAAGUACCAAAACCUUGCAAUUGUUGAUUGGAGCGUGGACUCGUCAACUCAACUACUAGGCAGGGGAAUGUACCACACCUUAGGGUGGGAGAGUCUCUUAUCCUAACUUGGUAACCACUUGUUGUGACGUCGUUGGGUGAAUCCUUCGAUUAGGCUUUAAAAAAGUAUACUCGAUUAAUACCAAACCCUCUCGUGAGAAGAACGGGCCCGGUGGAAGUAAGUUGGUUGGAGCGUGUUAAGAUAAAAAAAAAAAAAAGAAUCUACAUGGAUUUUAGAUAGUGAAAGUUGACGGAGGGGUCAACUGCGGUUAAUUUUGAUCAAAUUCGUAGAAAAAUGGCUCCUGAGGGCCUGUAUCCUACUCUGUGCUGUUAUACGCUUUCCUACUUGAUGGAUUUAAGUUUGGUGUUAUUAUUCGCUAUUUGUUUAUAUGAUUGCAUGUAUGGAGCACCGCUGAGCUUUAACUCACCCCACGUUACUUGUUUUCCUUAACAGGUUCUGGCAUUUGAGAGACCUGAAGUCUACCUUUACCUUUUAUGAAUGUUAUUUUGAAUCGGACUAUGUACCUUUCGUCUUGGGUUGCCACUUGAAGCUGGAAAAGGGCAAGCCCUGAGUUUUGUUUGGCUUGUAUGAAUGUAUUUGAAUUUUUAUGGUUUCACUUUGUGGUUUGUAAUAUUAUCUUUGAAGUUAAUGUGUUCUUAGCAUUGUAGUCAUUUUAAUGGUUGGCUUGUUCAGGUGACGAAUUUUGUUUUGGUUUAAGUUAUAUGUCAUAAGGGUUUAGUCGGUUUCCUUGCGUAAGUCCUAGCGAGAGCUAGGCAGGCGACCCGCCAAACCUCUGAUUCGCCUUAGGGAGAAGUGGGGUCGCCACAAAAUGCACUUUCUUCCUCGAAUGAUAAGUGGCUGUGAGUAUAUGUGAGUGAUGGUUGGUCACUGUUUCUUCAGGCGCUCAAGAGGAUAUUGAAGGAAACCUCGGAGCUAACCACUAAAGACUUUAUUUGCUCACUUACUUUUGAAUUAGUGAGUGUCAAGUGCAUGAAUUGUUGCUAUAUACUUGAAUUGUUCCUUAUUAAUUGAGUAUUUUGAAAUUGUCAAGACGAGCGUGUACUUUAUCGCACUCGUUCUCUUUUAAGUGAAUUUAUAAUUGAAUUGUGUGAAGUGAAAAUUAUAUUUGUGUUGAAUCGAUGUGGAUCGGAGUGAAUCUCAUCGACUUAUAAUUAUAUUUGUGUUGAAUCGAUGUCGAUGAGAUUGAAGUGAAUCUCAUCGACUUAUAUUUAUAAUAGUGAAGGACGCCCAAAUUCAUUGGUCAACCUUGCGACUCGAGCCGGCAUGGGUUUGGUCGUGAAACUUGGUGACCCAUGAGAAAGUCAUAAAUUAAUCUAUUUGAGAGAUCUCGCUUGGCAUACUCAAGUAGUAUCGCCUUAUAUAAAAGAAAUAUGGGUCAGGGGGUGUAACAGUGAACGGGAGUGUGAAUUAAGUGGAGUUCUAUGAACUUAAUACCUACCCGAUUGACGGAGUGUCAUCACGUGGAGGUAUUGGAUCGAGCCUCAGCAAAGCAAAUGGAAUCUAGCUCCUGAGAGCUCCCGUAACCUUAUUGAGUGUGUUUAUUGUUAAUUGUGAAUUACUUGAACUUUAUAGCUUUAUUUCCUAUAUAAAUGUUAUUGUUACUUGAACUAUGUGUUUGCAUGCUUUUCUUGGUCUCAUUGAGCGUUCGCUCACCCCAUUAGUUUGUUUUCCUUAAUAGGAGUUCGGGAUGGAAAGAUUUUUGGGAAGCCGACUUGAUUACUUUUAAUUAGAAUUUUGGAUGUAAUUGAUUAGUCAACUUUUGGUGGCUGUAAUUUUUGGGAAUGUUGAUAUACCUUUUGAAACUUAUGAUGUAAGAUUUGAAUGUUCCUUUAAGGAUGCGACUUUUUUUCAUUUCAACUUUUAUUAUUUGGUUGUUAUUCUUUAAGUUUGAAUUAAACUUGUAUCGAGUCCUGACGAGAGGUAGGCAGGCGUUCCACGGAUAUCCUUGGAUUCGCCCUAGGGAGAAGUGGGGGUGUCACAAGUGGUCCUAGGGAUGGCAGUCGAUCCUCCGCCCUUGUCCUGUCCCCCAUUUUUUCUACCCAUAUCUCCCACCCACCCUACCCUGCCCCAUACAGCUAUAGGGUGCUUCCGCAAUUGUUUAAUUAUAAUUUUUAUUUUCAUUUUGACAUUAUUACUAUAUAUAACAUCAAUAACAACAUUGUAAAACAUUAUUUUAGAUUCUUAACUAAAUAUUCAAUGUAAAAUCAAAGUUAAAAUUUAUUUUUUUUAAUUCAUUUCUCUACUUUUAAUGGCAAAUGUGAACUUAUAAUCGUCAUAUUUGUUUAAAUAAGUUACAAUGUGUAAAAAAAAAAAGAAGUAAACUAAAAUAACCAAAACAUCAUUUUUGUCCUAGAAAUUAUGAUUUCUUUAGUUCCCAAAUUAUUAUAGAUAUGCAUAUAUUAUUGAUGUGUAUCUCUAUUGUGUAUGACAAAUCUAAACUCAUAACCACUAAAUUUAUUUUUAAUUUUCAAUGAAUAACUUACAAUAUGUAAACACUUCAAGUAAAUUAAAAAUAACUAAAUAAUCAUUUUAUCAUACAAAUUAUGAUAUAUAUGUAUACAUUAUUGAUCUAUAGUUAUAAUGUACAUACACACACAUUUUAUCAUACAAAUUAUGAUAUAUUUGUAUACAUUAUUGAUCUAUAGUUAUAAUGUACAUACACGCACAUACACACACAAGCAUGCAUAUAUAUACAUUUACAUAUGUAUGGAUGAAACUAUACAGAUAUUUAUUUUUUAAAAAACUUUAUAUUAGUAGUGAGAGACAAUACAAGGAAUGGAGCGUGGGUAUCUUCCCCCGUCCCCACACCCGCCCCUCCCCAUGACUUCCCCGGUGUAUACCCACUCCUUUUGCCAUCCGUAAGAGGUCUUUUGUUCAAACUUCCUUAACAACAUAUAAUUUUUUUUCAAUCACCAAAAAUAACUCAGGUACCUGGCGCGUUUCCAUUUUUAUUAUCAUUUUUUCUUUCAUAUAAAAAAAGAUUGUGUUGGUUUAAAAAAAAAAAAAAAAAAGGACUCCGUUCAAAAAGACUCUGUUCAGAGCAUGGUCGAUUACUGGUUUAAUGAGUGUUCCAACUUCAUUAACGGCGUUCACUUUUCUUCCAAAUGCCGGAAGCCUGGUUGAGUUGAUAGCUUGCCCGGUCCCGCUCGAGGUGGGGAAGGCCUAAGAUUGGGCCUAAGUUCAACUGAGGCCUUUUUAACAUUAGGAUUAGCCCUAAUAUCUGGCUUAGCCCAAUAAACAGUUGUAUUUCCUUCUACUUUAGCACGAUUUUUAGUCUUCUGAUGUAUACUAAGGAGUAACACCUAUGUUACAUAUGUGUCAUUACCAAGAGUUUAACUUAAUUAAAGUAUAAUUAUGAUAAUAUAAAAAGGAUAAUUGUCAACAUAAUAGAGUAUGUAACAUGAAAGUCAUGUCCCAUUAUGUAACAUAACAUCCGUUGCCCUUAAAUACGCAUUGAAAUUCAUUCUUGUUCAACAAUUGGUUGUCUCAAGGUGUAGCUCUCCUCUUUAAAUAGGAAAUUACAAGUAAUUACUGGCCAAAAGCCAAAACUUCCAAUCAACAUAGUUUUCUAGAAUAAAUACGUAGCAGGAUUAGUGUUUAUUACACACUUAGUGUAAAACUUUAUUAUUUUACUCAAAUAGGCCUUGAUUCUGGCACAUCACCUCUGUUCACAUUUGAAAGAGAGGAUGCUGAGUCUAGCAGGAAAGGAAGUGUUAUUGAAAUAUGUGAUUAUGGCCUUUCCAACAUAUGUGAUGUCAUACUGUAGAUCACCCAAGGAGUUAUGUAAGAGCAUUGGGGAAGAAAUGGCAAAGUUUUGGUGGAGACAGAAGGGGGAGGAGAAAAAGAUGCACUGGUUAGGGUAGGAAAAAUUAUCUAAAGUCCAGCAGAAUGGGGGUUUGAGAUUCAGAGGCCUGGGAGAAUUCAAUCAGGCCUUGUUAGCCAAACACCUGUGGAGGACAAUUACAAGGCCAAAUUUAUGAGUAAGUAAAAUUCUCAAAGCUAGGUACUUUAAAGGGACUUCAAUUUGGAAAAUGAAAGGAAGAAAUACUGAUUCAUGGUGUUGGAGAAGUAUUUUGAGUGCCAAGUCUUUACUGGAGGAAGGGGUGAGGAAGAAGGUGGGUGAUGGAAAAACGAUAGACAUUUGGAUUGAUAGAUGGAUUCCAGGGGCUACUGGAGGGAAAGUGAUCACAACUGUGCAAAGUUCACGAGUUGAUAAAAGAAGGUGAAUGGGAUGAAGAACUACUGAAGAGAGUUUUUGAAGAGGAGGAUAGAGAAGAGACAGUUAAAAUUCCACUAAGCCUUCAAGAGGCAAAAGACAAACUCGAUUGGGCAAAUUAAACCACUGGGGAGUACAUGGUCAAGUCUGGUUAUAUAUAUGCCAAGGAUAAAAAGAAAGCAAGGAAUCAAAGGGGAGCUAAAGGAGAAUCAGGAAGCAGGAAUGAGGAAUGAGGAAAAUUCCAAAUGUUGGAAAGUGAUAUGGAACUUAAAGACGAAGCAUAUAUUAAAACAUUUAAUAUGGAAAUGUCUGAAGGAAUUUUACCAGUUAAUGAAGGGAUUAAGGCAAGAAGCAUGCAAGGCAGUCCAAUGUGCAAGUGCCGUGGAUUAUAUUCAGAAUCGAUCGAACCUAUGUUUUUUUAUGUGUAGCAAUGCAGAAGCAAUAUAGAAAGUAGCCCCAAUACAAUGGGAUGGGCUGGACAAGUUCAGAGGAAAAUUCUGGCUUUGGUGGUCUGAACUUGUGGAAGCAACUGUAAGGGAGGAAGGGGAAGAGCAUAUCAUUUUCACAGUUAACUUGUUACGGCAAACAUGGAAUUCGAGAAAUAAGGUAAAUUUUAAUGGGAAGAGAAGAUGCCCAAUGGUAGUGGUAAACAAGCAAUGACAGAAUGGGUGGAGUUUCAAAAGAUAAAGGAGAAGGAAAAGGAGAGUGAGGCUGAAGUACAACAGGAGAAAUGGAAGUAUGGAAAAUGGUCUGCUCCCAGAAAAGGAUGGAUUAAACUCAAUACAGAUGCAGCUUUGAAUCAAAGAGCAAGGAGAGCAGGCUGGGGAAUUGUAGCUAGAGAUUGGAGAGGUAAGCUGGUUGCAUCGUGGGCAUGCCCAUCAUUCACUUGUAGUGAACCAAAACUGGAGGAAGCUCUAGCAAUCAGGACUGCAAUGGGGACAGCUACAGUGGAAGGAUGGGAGAAGGUAAUUAUAGAGACUAACUGCAAAACAGCUGUGGACAAGCUUGAGAAUGAUGCGGAGGAUGCAGUUAUCUCUACAGUUUUGCAGGAUAUUAAGUUGUUAAAAUAUAGUUUUGAUGAAUGUUGUUUCUCUUCCAUUAGGAGAAAACAACUCUGCGAGUCACAAGUUAGCAAAAUUUGCUCUUAACUUGAAAGAUGUAAUUGAGUGGGAAUUUAGUUUCCCAGUUUGAAUGCUUGAGACAGCUCGAGCAGACGCUAAGGAGCAGUUGCUCUAAGAUUUGUACUUUGGUUGAAGUUAACGAAGUGUUGCCGUUUUUGGAAAAACAAAAAAUCAUUUUUGUAUGGUGUCCACAGCAUCUUUUUUAUAAAGAAAAUCAGAAACCUAAUGCCAUCCUACUAAAAGUGACAUUCAAAACCUUGAUCAUAAUUGAUUACUCUGGUCAUUUCAUUAUAAAAUAUAAGAUUAUAAAAUAUAAGAAGACGGAAAGAGAUAUUCACACGAAUGAAUCCGUCCAAGAAGAUGCAGUUUUAUUAUGAAGCCAAGCGUAUACAUACAUAUGUACAAAAGUUCAAGUAGAAACAAGACAUCACCAAACGUAAAGCUGUAAAGUAGUACAAGUCACUAGUAAAUUAUCAACCACCGGUUACAUGGGAUAACAGUUCAUCAAUAAUGAAAUUUCAAGGAAACGGAGAAUCUUGUUCACAAACAUCUCUCUUUCACCUUCACUGAUAAUCCACCUUUCAUCCUAAGGGUCAAAGAUAACAAAGGCUCAGGACAUUUUCCAUCUUUCAGUACUGCAUCAAUCCCAAAUCUUUCCAAAACACAAGCUGCAAUAGACUUCAUCUGAAUAUAAGCCAUAUCUUUUCCUAUACACAUUCUUGGUCCAGCAUGAAAAAUUGGAAACUUAAAUGGAUUUUCUUGUUUAUAAAUUCCAUUUUCCAACCAUCUUUCUGGUUUGAAAUCAUAACAAUCUUUUCCCCAAAUGCUUUCCAUUCUCCCCAUUGCAUAAGUAUGGUAGCUAAUAAACCAACUUUUUGCAAUAAAAGUCCCUUCUGGCAAAACAUCAUCUCCUAAACAAGCCCUUGUAUCAAUUGGCACGGGAGGGUAUAGCCUCAUAGUCUCUGAUAAUGCUGCAUGAAGAUAAUGCAUUUCCCUUAAUUCAUCAAAAUCAUAAGCAUCACCAAUUUUUUUAUGACUCCGAUUUCGAAUCAAAUCCAAUUCUUGAAGUAUUUUUCUCUCAAUUAUUGGCCUUGUAGAUAGCAACCAAAAGAACCAACUAAGAGCUGAUGAAGUUGUAUCCCUUCCAGCCAAAAUAAAACUAAUAAUAAUGUCCCUGAGAAAUUCAGCUGAAUUUUCAGAAUUCCCAAUAAAUCUUGACAACAGAUCUUCAUCUUUUCUCUCAACUCCUUCUUCGAGUCUGGACUUUAUGAUCUUAUCAGCAAACUCAUGGACCGUAUCAAUUGAUUGCUUCAACCUUUUCUCUGAACCUAUGUUGAAGAAUUUCUUGAAUAGAUAAAAAGCUGGAAUAGCAUACAUGAAUCUACCUGAGCUAAGAGUUGCAGCAUCCUCGAAAGCCUCCAUGAACUCACGGCCACUGGUUGCAUCCCCUCCUAGACAUCCUGGAUCAACAUUGAAUGCAAGUUCGCAAAUAUUAUCAAAUGCAAAACGUUCCAAAACAUCUUGCAAAUCCAAAACUCUAUCAACUUUGGCUGCAUCUUCGAAUAAUGGAAUUAAGCGAGUUUGCACCUCGACUCUAACGUUUUCAAUAACGAAAUUUCGGAGGGAUUUUGUGUUGAACUCGUAGCUAGCAGUUUUCCUCUGAACUUUCCAUAAUUCACCAUCUGAAUUGAAUAUUCCUUUUCCAAGAAAGUCUUCAAGAAGGCCAAUGAAUCGAGGUCCUUUCGGGUAGUUCUCAAACUUGGCUUUGAGCAUGUGUUCGACAACUCGUGGGUUGGCUGUUGUGAUUCCACGGACGCCGGGGCGGCGGAAGACGGCUGUGUGGGUGGGGCAUUUGGAGAGGAUUUCAGUGCUCCAAUCCAGAAAUUGGUGGCGGUUGAGGAGGAAUCCCGGUAGAGUUCCUACUACAGGGUAGAUUUUGAAGCCUGUUUUGGUGGUUUGUUUGGAUAUUGGUUUGAGAAAAAAGAUGUAAAGGUAAAGCGAGACGAGGAAGAUGAAGAGGACAGAGGGCAAAGAGAAUGGCUCCAUGAAGAGGAUAAAGGGCCAAAGGAGCAACAGAGUAGGCAGUAGUAUUUCUUUUAAGAUUUUGCUUGCUUACAUAUUGCAUUUAUGUUAAACUACAAGGAACCAAGCACUAGGCCCAUCUAUAAAAUUAUGGCUAAAAUUCAUUAGCGGUUCAUCAUCAUAUUUUGUAAAAUAAUUUUUUCGUCCCUCAUUUUUAAAAAGUCUAAUUUUAUAUCCCUUACAUAUUUACAUCGAUCAAAUUUAGUCCCUAAUUAGGUUUCCGAUUAUUUUUUGGCAGGAAUCCAUCAUGUGCAAGGCACGUGAUCAUUUUUGAAGGGUAAAUUUAUCAAAUUAUAUUUUACAUAAUCUGAUCUAUAGUUCUUCAUAUUUUAUAAAAUAAAAUUUUUCGUCCCUCACAUUUUAUAAAAUAAUUUGUUCCAUCCCUCACAAUUCAAAAAAUGAAUUUUUUAUUUCUCACUAAUUAUGUGUGUGAAUACAUUUUUUUUUAUACAUGUCUAUUUGAUUUUACUUAAUAAUAAUAGCAUAAACACAUGUAUGUAAUUGGGCCCAACUUGUGGGUUAUUUUCUCUUUUUGUAUGAUUAUGGCUAAUAUUUAUCAAUAGAACCUUAAUUUGUAUAUUCUUAUUGUAUUUUGACCGAAAAUAGCUUUAUUGACCAACUUGACAAUGAAUGCAAAAUUUUUUACUAGCUAAUACCAGAUGAAAUCAAAUAAUCACAUAUAAUAUAUGGUAUUCGUAUUGUUAAGUGAAAUCAAAUAGACACAUACAUAUAUUUAUGCUAUUCGUAUUAUUAAGCAAAAUCAAAUAGACAUAUACAUGUGUUUAAACAAAAUAUAUUCACACACACAUAAUUUUUUUUUUAGGGUUUCCCUCACACACAUAAUUAGUGAGGGAUGGAAAUAUUCAUUUUUUGAAAUGUGAGGGAUGGAGAAAUUCAUUUUGUGAAAUGUGAGGGAUGAAAAAAUCAUUUUAUAAAAUGUGAGGGACGAAAAAUUUGUCUUAUAAAAUGUGGAGGACUAUAUAUUAGAUUAUGUAAAAUAUAAUUUGACAAAUUUACCCUUCAAAAAUGAUCACGUGCCUUGCACGUGAUGGAUUCCGGCCAAAAAAUGAUCGGAAACCUAGUUAGGGACUAAAUUUAACCGAUGUAAAUAUGUAAGGGACAUAAAAUUACACUUUUAAAAGUGAGGGACGAAAAAGUCAUUUUACAAAAUGUGAGGGAUGUUUUGGACGAUUUUUCCAAUUCAUUAUAUUAUAAUUUGCUUCAAAUAAAAAGAAAUUAUAAUUGUUAAAAAAUGAGGUUAAAAAAGUUUAUCUUUAGUGGAAUGUUCCAAAACUUUGCUCCAACUUGCUUAUUGUGAUGCAAUAAAGAUAUAUACUAUAUUGUAUGGACAAACAACAGCAAAAAUUUAAAAACCAAUCACAUGAGAAAUGCAAAACUGGUUCAAUAUUAACACAAAUGAUAUAUGCUCCAUAAAACUCAAGUAUCAUGCUAUUAUACUUACAAAUGCAUAAAAUUUCACCACUAUUUUUUUUUCAAAUAAGACAUCAUCAUGUAAAAACUUCUAUCCUACAAAUUCACAAUAAAACUUGCAAAAAAGUUGAAUGGAAGGCUUUUCAAUGCAUAAAAAGGGUACAAAAAUUCAGUACCAAAAAAUUGGUAAAGGAAGUGCAAGAUUCAAUUAUGCAUUAAAAAGGAACUAAAACAUCAGAAUUGCAAAAAAUAAAAUUUGCAUUUAGAUUUAAAACAAACAACACAAAAGGAAAAUCAAUUUGCAGAACCAAAAUAAUGGAAGGUUUAAUGAAUAUCAAGGAGAUCAAGCCAAAAUAAAUAAAUACACCAAGAUAACAAAAUAAAGACACAAAAAAAUGAUAAAGGCUAAAUAAAAUACAGUUAAUAAAAAAAAGUUAAAAAUACAGUUAAUAAAAAAACUUUAAGUCUAUAUUUAGCAGCAUGAAAUGAGGAAAUUUUUUAACAAUGGAGUAAAAGAAAUAUCCAUUUCCGUGCAAGAAAAACAUACAUUCAAUUAAUUAUAGAGUAAAAAGAAAAAAAAUGCAUUGAUUGAGUGGAACGAGGAAAGGUAGAGAAAAAUUAGGCUGAAGGAAAAAAAGAAAAGAAAAAGCAAAAUACUGGAUUAAAGAGUUAAAAUUGAUGGAAUAGGAAGUAACAAUAUAAACCAGUUGAUUAUUGGGACAUCUCUCCAUGGUCAACAAUAAUCAUCUAAAAAAUAGUAAGAAAAUAAUCUUAGUAUAAUGAAUUAUAAAGAAAAAUUUUGAAGGGGAAAAAAAGAUAAAGAUAAAAGAGGGAGAUGAAGGUUAAAACUAGAGGCAAAAAGAGGAAGAAUUGGGAGGAGAGAUAGUUAUAAUUUUUGACUAACAAAAAAAAAUAGUGAAGCAAAAUUUCAACUACAAAUAGAUAGAUACUGACACUUGUCAAAAUAAGAGACUAUACACUUGGCAAAACAAGAGGUUGCUACAGUAACCUCUCCUUAUUUUUAUAUACAAGGCAGACAUAAAUAAAGUUAAUGUGUACAAUGGUCAUAUAAGUGUAUGCUACUUUAUUAAAAAAAAAAGGAUAAUUUUAGAAACCUCUCUUGACGUUCUUGACAAUUUCAUCUAAUACGCUUGAGAUUUUUAAUAUUUCACUUACCUUGUCCCUGUAAAAUGAUCAUAAUAACUUUAACAUAUUAAUAUUUAACCUGCAAUUAAACAAUCUUCUUCUAAUCUUAUGCAUAUGAAUGUAUCACACAAUUAGACAUUUAAUGGAAACAAAAACAAGAUUCACUCGUGGAACAACUAAUUUUGCCCUAAACACAAUUUUAUCAAUUGCAAAUUAAUUUUAGUUUUGCUUGAUAGAUGUGGAGAUGAAUAAUAGAAGAUGUAAGCUGAAGGUUUAAAAAAGAUGAAACUGAUGUUGGUACUUUAACAUAUGAGGGAUAUGAUGCUGUAUUAAUGCAAUUGGUGAAAUUUUUUGAGUUUAACAAUGCUAAUUUUUUUUUAAACUUAGAUUGAGGUUUUAGAAUUUAAGGACUAAUGGCAGUAGUGAUCAUGGUGAUAAUGGUACUAAUUUGAAAUGUUUAAAAUAGUAGAGAUGAGAGUUAAAGUGAGUUUGAGAUUUUGUACAUGUUCCAUAUUUUUUUUAAAAAAAAUUAUAAUAAGGUAAAAUGAACCUCACAAUUUCAUAAGAGCAUUUUAUGUUAUUCACUCAAAAUUUAAUCAUUGAAUAAUUGUUGAUACCAAAAUGAUAAACUCAAGGGAGGUAUCUGUAAACUCCCUUGAAAUAAUUAUAAUCAUUGAAUAGUCUUUAUAAAACCUCAAAAAAACUAUAUGAAAUUAUUAAAAUCUCAAGGGAGGUUUCUGAAGUUAUCCUAUAAAAAAAAAUAUCACCACCGUAUAACUGUAGCAAACUCCCAUAUGUUACUCGAUAUAGCAGCUAACACACCAAGCACUCCAGCCCCAAAAAAGCGAAGACGCCGUUUGUUAUCAAGACAAUUUCACCAAGUCAUAAGUUUGAUUUUAAUUAAUCACUAAGCGUUGGUUCAGUGGCCACCAAAAAAGGAUUGAAUCCCUCUUUGGACUGUAGGUUGAGUGUUCAAACCCUGCUUGUAGUGAAAAAAAUCCAAAGGAGUGCUGUUAGAGCAUCCAUUUGGUCUAAUCAAGUUAAUCUACCUGUUAAUUCCGCUAUUAGAGCAUCCGUUUGGUCUAUGUACCUGUUAAUUCCUUACACAGUUACAGAAAAAAAAGUCCGAUUCCAAUCUAAGAAUUUGAUCUCUUCUAUAUAAUGUCAUAUAAGAGGCUGGUGAACUUUAAUUUGUUUAUUUUUGGUGAAAGCAUCUAUUAGUUGUUACUAUAUAGCUAGGACAAGUACUUUUUUCAGAGAUGCUUAAUAUAGCUAGGACAAGUACUAACUACAUACAACAAGGAUGCUUUCAGAGAUGGUGGACAAUGAUUGCUGAAGCAAGGAAAAGGCCAAAGGGAAAUGAACAUUUAGCUCUAACAGUCAAUAUCCUUUGACAGAUUUGGAAAAGCAGGAAUGAUAGAGAAUUCAAUGACAAACAACAGCCCCCAUUGGGAACGAUUUAGAAGGCUCAAGAAGAAUGGCUAGAAUACAAGAAAGCCACUACAAAGACAGCUAGGAUGAGCGCAAAAGAAACAGCAAUACAAAGGAUCCCAUUCCAACAACAACAGGAGGCAGUUGCAGAUAUCAUGAGGUUGAGGUUUGCUAUACACAAGCUAAAAGAUAACCCAUAAAUGGGAAUUGGUGCCCCAAUUGCUGUGGACAACCAGCAGACCAUGAAGGGGUGGGCGUUAAAGGAGAGAAGUACAGGAGAUCACUUCAUUGACGAAGAAGUAGCUAUCAAGCUACUGCUGAGCAAAGCUGUAGUACUAAGUUGGAGAAAGGUUGAGGUCCAAAUCCAAAACAAGGAAAUACUCAACUACAUCCUUGCUCGCAAAACUCAUGAUACGAGAUUAGCAACUGUGUUGGAAGAUAUUCACCAAUUAAAUUUGUUGUUUCAUAUGCGCUCCUUUUAUUUAGCUAGUAAAGAAUAUAAUCACAUAUGUAAUAGAAUUAGCUCAUAUGCCAUAGGCAUAAUUCAAGAUGAGAAUCUUUUGUUUUCUUGGUGUCCAAGUACACUAAUUGUAUAGAUCCAUUGAGCCUUUGCUCGCAAUUGUAUAGUUUUGAUAUUUUAUAAAAACCACCUAUGUUUUGGAAAAAAAAAAAGGACAAGUACUUUUUUUUACCUUUUUCCUUUUGUUUGUUUGACCUUUUUUUUCAUUUUGGGAGGAAUGACCAUUUGUUUCAAGUUUCAACCACUAAGAGUUGGUUGGUUGGUUGGUUGGUUUUAUUAUAAGACUUAUUUCACUUUACAACAUUCAACUUGUAGUAGAUUCCCUUUUUACACCCUGAAUUUUGAAGUAGGGAAAUAUUUUAUCCUAAUUUUUCAUAUUCAUUCCAUUUUGACCCUUUCAUUAACCAUAUUGAGAAAUUUGUCCAAUUCUACACAUUUACUAAGCAUACACCAUAAGCAAAAAAGUCUAUGUUUCACUUUACACCUUUUUGUUACCCAUUUUCAAUUUGCACUGCCGAACUUAAUUGGAUAUGCCACAACCCAUAAUUUGGUUUUGAAGCAUUCUUACAAACUCUUUGAAAUGUGCAAUAGGCAUGCAUAAUUUUUACCUGACAUUUGAUGCACAUUGCGCCCCGUCAAAUUUAUAAAAUAUUUUUUUAUAGUUUUACACAUUUUUAUAAUAACACAAUAGAUGAAUCACAAUGGAUUUGUUCAUUGAACACUUGUUGGCUUUCAGGUUGUAAGGAUCGAAGACAACAAAGUGGAAGAGAUAAACAAUGUAAAGAUCACAAACGUAACAAAAAGUAAAUAAAAAGGAAAAAAUUGCAAACCAAUUAACUACACAACUCCUCUUGAGCUUGUAGAUUAAUUCAACCAACCUUCUUCAAGUUGAUGAAUUACAAUCACUCUUGUGUACAAAGGAAGGUUCACCUCCUCCUUAUCCCGAACUCCACUUGGUUAAGUUAGGACGUUUUACUAUCUCUCAGGACAACCCUCACAGAGCUACACUUAUUAAGUAUUCACUCACAAAUGAAAAGUUUACAAUGAACCUCACACUACUAAGAGCACAAAUCUUCUUUGAAGAGUAUUUUCUCACUAAAAUCACUCAAGAUCAUUUGUAUCUUCAGUGUGUCAAAGUUAUUUGAACUAUCUGACAACCAUUAUUUAUAUAGGAUCAAAAAAGUGUCUCAUUAAUGCUUCCAACGGAUAGAAAGUAGCUAAAGAGUCAACUAGCCGUUGGAGUGUCGGACGUCCGGUACUCCUGUUUUUUGCGUCCGACAGCAGGCAGUGAGUUUGAGAAAUUUUCUUCAAUUCUAUCGAACGUCCGGUGCAAGCUCUUUGUGCGUCGGACAGCAAACAAAGAGAUUUCAAAAAGCAUCUUGUUUCUAUCGGACGUCCGGUGGAAACAUAUUCAGCAUCUGAUGGUUUCGUCGGCUUCAAAGGAUCCUAUCGGACGUCCGAAGCAUGCGUCCGAAGUUGUGCAAUGAUUAUCGGACGUCUGGUACUGUCAUCACAAGCGUCCGACAGCUUUCAACAAUCUUUGUCUUCUUUCAAUUGCACUUGAUUUUCGAAUCUGAUUUGCUUCACAAUUGAAAAUAGUUCUUGAAGAGAUAUUAGUAUUAUCCAUUGUUUUGUAAAUAUCAAAAGUUAGGGAUUAAGGUCAACAUUCUCCCCCUUUUUGAUGAUGACAAAACAAUGGAUGAAAAAAAAGAAAAAAAAAUUGAGCAUAAGAGCAUAAGUUCUCCCUCACUCAUUGCAUCCAAACUUAUAAUCUCAGAAUAACUCCCCCUUACACAUAGCAUCCAUAUUGAGCAUAAAAGCAUAAGCUCACCUUUUUUGUUAUUAUAAGAUAGAGUAAAAAUCAGCUACCAAAAUUCAGCAAUAAUAACAGAGAAUCCAAUAUACCAAAUAAAAAUAGAGAAAUGACAGCAAUCACCAACAUAUCACAGCAAAUCAUCAUGAGAUCAGCAUUAUUUUUUUCUCCCUUUUUGACAUCAUACGAAUUCAGUAAAAAAUCAAGAAAAACUUAGUUCAAAACAUCAAAAACAUCAAAAGAGAAUUACAAAAAAGUAUUAUGAACAAGAAUCUCAUCAAUCUUACCAAUAUCUCCUACUUGUUAGAGUUAGUAUCAUGUCUAACUAUCCACAUGCAUUUCAUGCCUCUUAUCAUUUUUUUUUUCACAAUGCAGUCACUUUUGAUGUGACCUUUUUUAUAACAAAAAUUACAUAUAAUCAAAGAGUUAUUUACAUGAACAGGUUGAAUAAAUCUUACUUGUCUUCUCUUAUAAAUAGCAAAUUCAUUUGUAUUAGAAUUUAUCUUUUUCUGAUAAGUGCCAAAAUGAGGUUUUGAUUUAUUACUGUGAAAACAGUCUUAAUUUUUAUGUUGAAGCAACUCAUUUAAAUUAUCUAUUCUUCUUUUCAAAUCACCUUGUUUCUUUUUGAACAAUUUACAAAAUUUUAUUUUUCUGUCAAGCUCAAAGUGUAAAACAGUCUCACUCAUUUUUAAGAAAUCACUUUCAAUUUUCAGUUUUUUAUUUUCUUGAAAAAGACGUGCAUUGUCUUGAAGAAAAAAGUUAAUUUUAUGUUUUAAUUCCUUAUUUCCAACAUAAGAUUCUUUCAAUCUAUCAUGCAAUUUUAUAAUGAAAAAUUCAAGAUCAUCAUCAGUUUCAUCAUCACUUUCAAAUUGAGAGUUAGAAGAUAUUACCUCAUCAUCUCCAAUGGCCAUGAAACCCAAUUGAGCAGAUUUUUCUUCCUCUUCAAUUUCACCAUCGGAGUUACACUCAUUUCAUGUGAACUGAAAGUUGUUGAAUUUGGGUUUUCUUUCACCUUUCCUCUGUUGGGAUAUCAAGUGUGAAUCAAUAUCCCAUAUCGGAAAGAGAUGAGUAGAAUGAGAAACAUAUAAGUGGAAAUGAUCCAUAGACCCAAUGUCUUAAGGUUUUGGGUUGGAUGUGGUAUCAAACCCAUGGUUGUGGUUCCCAUUCUAACUCACGGUUAAAAUUCUCCCCGAGUUUGGCUCUCUCAGAACCCAACAAGUGGUAUCAGAGUCGAUGGUUCGACUGGACAGUGACUUCAGGAUAAAAAAACCAGUGGGAGUGAUAAGCCGUGACUUGGAUAAGAACGGGGAAAAAAAAUCAUGCAGACCUGCAGUGAGGCAAGGGCAUGUGGGCUCUUGAAGCAAGAAUCGUACACUUCAAAUUAAAGUGGGUUUGAUGGAGUGGAUGGGUUAGAGAGAGAGGUCCGAUAUGAAAGAAAUUCACAAUUGAGGGGGAGAUUGCUGGGAUAUCAAGUGUGAAUCAAUAUCCCACAUCGAAAAGAGAUGAGUAGAAUGAGGAACAUAUAAGUGGGAAUAAUCCAUAGAUCAAUGCCUUAAGGUUUUGGGUUGGAUGUGGUGUCAAAUCCAUGGUUGUGGUUCCCAUAUCUCAAUAGUGUUUGUUUCGUGCCUGGAUUCUAACAAGUGGUAUCAAAGUCUGGUUGCGAGAUUGGGCUGCUCAAGGUUCGUAGUUGGAUCGUAGCUAACUAUUGAGAUCAAGUGGAUUGGUAGUUGUCAUCAAUUGAACAAUUUAAUGGGUGGUAUCCUUGUUUCAAUGGUUUGAUAAAAAGCAUUGAUGGUGAAGGAUGAAAAGUCGAAAAGUAUAGAGAUGCUUGACGGUAAAUCUAGGCAGGUGAUUCAAGGGUCAAAGAAAAGGUGGAGUUCAAUGUUGAUUUUGGACGUAAAUCGGUGGAGACUUUCUCACACCUUCAACGAUUGAUACUUCAUCCCGAUGAAUUUUAGAUUUUGGUUAUGUUUGUUAGGUGGUGUGGCACGUGUCCCAAAGAAACAAGGAGAUCUAAUUUUUAUGCGCCAGAAGACUCUGACAGGUACGAGUUUUUCGUUUUAGGUAGAGUCUUGGAAACCACACGUGGCGAAAUAGUCCUGAGAAUGGGAAGAAAUAUGGUAACUUUACCACUUGAUUGCCUCAAUGGUUAGGGUUAGAACUCACAGAAGGAGAUCCCAGAUUGCAAUUGGUAGUGAGCAGAAAUCCUACAAAGGGAGAUAGUGAAUUGAGGUACCUUCUCACGAGUCAACUGGAGGUUGGAUUCGGGGUAACUAUACAUGUUCAUUUGCCGAUUGAAUCGAUUUGGUGUCAAGACUGUAUUGAUUCGAGUGUGUAGUUUAGUACCAUAUUAUUUGGUAAUUGAAGGUAAAUGAUUGUUAAAAAAAAAUUUCGCCAAUGUGGAGAUUUGUUAGGAAAUUGGCUUAAAUUCUUUUAGGUAGAUUUCUUAUCUUAUGUGGAAGUAACUAGUUUCCUAAUUGAUUUUAGUUACUUGAACUAGUAGCCAAGAAAUUCUAUUUAGUUUAGGAAAUAGUUUGUUAUUUGAUUUUUUUGACAGUAAUAUUUCCUAUAAAUAGAUGGAUUGACAUACUACACAAAUGCAUACAAGGAGACACAAAGGGCAUUAAAUAGCUUUAUACAUGGGGUGUGAGAGAGAGUUUUUGGGAGAUGAGAGAUGGUAUACAAGGGUUGGGAUUGGGUUCAAGUUGUAUUCUUGUAUAGGAUUUUUCUCUCAUAAUAAAGAACAAAUUUCUCUCCAUGGAUGUAGGCUCAAUGGUGGAGCCGAACCACGUUAAAUAUUGUGUGUCGUUUAUCUUUUAUGCUUGUGACUUAUUUGCCAUUAAAUUGUUGUGCACUUGAUAUCUCAAUAGUGUUUGUUUCGCGCCUGAAUCCUAACAUCCUCUUCUUCAUUGAACACUCACUCAUGUAGUGUCCAAGUUGGCCACAUUCAUAACAUUUGUCACCUUGUUUUUUGUUGGCCUCAUAUCUUCCUUUGUUUCUUGCAUUGUUGAAUUGAUUAGAAUCUGAAUUAGUAGGUCCUCCUCUUCUAAAUCUUUUUUUGUUGAGAAUCCUCUUGAAAUUUCUUAUGAUGAGAGCAAAAUCACUAUCAUCAACUUCCGCAUCUUCUUCAGUUAAGGAGGCAGAAUCAUCUUCAUCUCGAGAUGCCUUUAGAAUAAUGCUCCUUCUUACUUUCGCAUCCUCUUCCUCUUACAUUUUGAACUUAAGUUUCAACUCAUAAGAGAUUAGAGAAUUAAUAAGAGAUUCAAUAGGUAUAGUAUUCAAAUCUUUAGCCUCUUCAAUAGCAGUCACUUUACUUUCCCAAUCUUCGAACAAAGCAUUCAGAAUUUUUCUAUUUUUCUCACCUAGAGAGUAUUUUUUUUCCAGCACUUCUAAAUCCUUAAUAAGGUCGUCGAAUCUACAGUACAUCUCAUCAAUAUUUUCAUGAGAUUCCAUCUUGAACGAUUCAUACUUGGUAACCAGAAUAGACUUCUUUUGUUCUCUCACAUUCUCACUUCUUUCAUGAAUUUCUCUAAGUUUGUCCCAAAUUUCUUUAGCGGACUUACAACCCUUGACUCUAAUAUAUUCAUUUGAAUUUAAAGCACAAUAUAACAAAUUCAUGACUUUUGCAUUUAAGGUGAGAUGAGUUCUAUCUAUAGUAGUCAGUUCACUUCUUAUUUUUUUUUGUCUAAAUCUAUGAGUAAUUUCAUCUAUAAGAGAUGUAUCAUAUGGACCUUCACUAAUAAUAAAUCACAAUUUAAUAUCAACCGAUUGCAAAAAGAUAAUCAUUCUUUCUUUCCAACUCAUAUAAUUUGACCCAUUAAACAUAAGUGAUCUAAUGACAGAAUGUUCUUCCAAAAACAUGGCAUUGUUGGUUGUCAUUUUUACUCCUAAGCCGAUUGAGGUUAAUCUUUAGGAGACCAACCUUUGAUACCA
rnacentral:lncRNA from 1 species